CAAAGUGAUAUUGUGUUGAUGUCACUGUGCAGAGGAGACUGCAGAGGAGGACUUGGGGGAUCUUUCUGUCUCUGAACUUCUGGAGCGAGCCAACCGUAAUCUGAUCCGUUCUGAUGAUGAUCCCAUCCUGACUGAGGGGGACAUCGCCAUCGACAGCGAGGCCGAGAGAAACGCCGACCCUUGCACCAGCCGCGGCUGCAAGUGGGGAAAGUACACUGACGGAAAGGUCUACAUUCCUUAUUACAUCGCCAGCCACUUCUCCUCCCGUGAGAAGGCCAUCAUCACCCGUGGACUGGAGUCCUUCUCCUCCUUCUCCUGCAUCCGCUUCAGGCCCAGCAGGAGCAGCGACCGCGACUGGCUGAGCAUCGAGUCCAA